rnacentral:lncRNA from 10 species
CAUACUUCUUGCAGGCUAAUAAUAAUAUAACACAUUAUGACUGCCUCACCUCUAAACCCCAUGGUUAUAUAACGCUGUAUUCUGUGGAAAUGACUCUAACCCAAUGGCUCUCAAAUUUUAGUGUGCACAUCACAGCCUUCUUGUGUUUCAAAACACCAGACAGCAUUGUAGCCCUGCAGUUGAGGGCCAUUUGAAAUAGAAAAAACACCAAAACAAACAUGCAAAAGACAUGGCACUAAACAGGCCUUGAAAAGGAAGGCAAAAGGCUGGGCAUGGUAUCUUAUGCCUAUAAACUCAGCACUUUGGGAGGCCGAGGCAGGCAGAUCACCUGAGGUCAAGAGUUCGAGACCAGCCUGGCCAACACAGUGGAACCCCGUCUCUACUAAAAAUACAAAAAUUAGCUGGGCAUGGUGGCUUGUGCCUGUAGUCCCAGUUACUCAGGAGGCUGAGGCAGGAGAAUUGCUUGAACCCGGGAGGUGCAGGUUGCAGUGAGCCGAGAUUGUGCCACAGCACACCAGCCUGGGUGACAGAGCGAGACUGUCACAAAAAAAAAAAAGAAAAAGAAAAAAAGGAAAGUAUCUCAUCGUUGGAACAUAUGUAUAAGGAUGACUGGAAUUUUUCAGUACUCUGUGCAUGUCUGCAAAAGUGUUGCCACAAACAAAUUUUAUCAAGUAGGUACAUUUGCAAAUAUGGAACUGCAAAUAAUGAGGAUCUAUUCUAUUUAGAACUUGAAAUUUGAUACUUCUUUCUUUUUUGAGACAGGGUGUUGCUCUGUUGCCCAGGCUGGAGAGCAGUAGCCUGAUCAUAGCUUACUACAGCCUCUAACACUUAGGCUCAAGCAAUCCUCCUGCCUCAGCCUCCCAAGUAGCUAGGACUACAAGGAUGCAACACCACAUCCAGAGAUGGGGUCUCACCAUGUUGCCAAGGCUGGUCCUGAAAUCCUGGUCUGGAGUGAUCCUCCCACCUCGGCCUUCAAGUGCUGGGAUUAUAGGCAUGAGUCACUGUGUUCAGCCCAUGUGGUAGUUUUUAAUCAAUGUUUCCUCUACCCGCUUUUUCCUUCACG